rnacentral:lncRNA from 1 species
CAGCGUGUGCGUGCAUUGCAGUGUGUGCACACUGCCACAUGUGCGUGCAUUGCAGCGUGCGUGUGUCCGUGCGGUGUGUGUGCAUUGCAGCAUGUGCAUGCAUUGCAGCGUGUGCACACUGCCACGUGUGCGUGCAUUGCAGUGUGCGUGUGUGUCCGUGCGGUGUGCGUGCAUUGCAGUGUGUGCACACUGCCACGUGUGUGUGCAUUGCAGCAUGCGUGUGUCCAUGCAGUGUGCGUGCGUUGCAGUGUGUGCGUCCAUUGCAGUGUGUGCACACUGCCACGUGUGUGUGCAUUGCAGCAUGCGUGUGUCCAUGCAGUGUGUGUGCUUUGCAGUGUGUGUGUGCAUCACAGCGUGUGCACACUGCCAUGUGUGCAUGCAUUGCAGCGUGCGUGUGUCCAUGUGGUGUGCGUGCAUUGCAGCGUGCGUGUGUCCGUGCGGUGUGUGUGCCUUGCAGCGUGUGUGUGCAUCACAGCGUGUGCACACUGCCACGUGUGUGUGCAUUGCAGCGUGCGUGUGUCUGUGCGGUGUGUGUGCAUUGCAGCGUGUGCGUGCAUUGCAGCGUGUGCACACUGCCACGUGUGCGUGCAUUGUAGUGUGCGUGUG